CCGUUCGAUCACCGAAGUUAAGCAUCGUAGAGCCAGGUCAGUAAUUAGAUGGGGGACCGCUUGGGAACACCUGGUACUGUAAGC